CCUACGGGCGGCAGCAGUGGGGAAUAUUGGGCAAUGGGCGCAAGCCUGACCCAGCAACGCCGCGUGAAGGAUGAAGGCCCUCGGGUUGUAAACUUCUUUUGUCAGGGACGAAGAAAGUGACGGUACCUGACGAAUAAGCCACGGCUAACUACGUGCCAGCAGCCGCGGUAAUACGUAGGUGGCAAGCGUUAUCCGGAUUUACUGGGUGUAAAGGGCGUGUAGGCGGGAUUGCAAGUCAGAUGUGAAAUUCCAGGGCUCAACCCUGGACCUGCAUUUGAAACUGUAGUUCUUGAGUGAUGGAGAGGCAGGCGGAAUGCCGUGUGUAGCGGUGAAAUGCGUAGAUAUACGGAGGAACACCAGUGGCGAAGGCAGCGUACCGGCGCCAGACUGACGCUGAGGCACGAAAGCGUGGGGAUCGAACAGGAUUAGAUACCCGGGUAGUC
rnacentral:rRNA from 1 species